UGGGGGAUAUUGCACAAUGGGCGAAAGCCUGAUGCAGCAACGCCGCGUGAGGGAAGACGGUCUUCGGAUUGUAAACCUUUAGCUUUGGGGAAGAAACAAAUGACGGUAACCGAGGAGGAAGCCACGGCUAACUACGUGCCAGCAGCCGCGGUAAUACGUAGGUGGCAAGCGUUGUCCGGAAUUACUGGGUGUAAAGGGAGCGCAGGCGGGGAGACAAGUCAGCUGUGAAAACUAUGGGCUUAACCCAUAAACUGCAGUUGAAACUGUUUUUCUUGAGUGGAGUAGAGGUAGGCUGAAUUCCGAGUGUAGCGGUGAAAUGCGUAGAUAUUCGGAGGAACACCAGUGGCGAAGGCGGCCUACUGGGCUCUAACUGACGCUGAGGCUCGAAAGCGUGGGGAGCAAACA
rnacentral:rRNA from 1 species